AUCCUUGUGCACGGGCGUUAAGCGUUACAGUGAGGAUUCGUCCGAGUACGCUUUAUUGCUUGUUGAAAACUUUUUUUUGACCACUCCAUUUGGGCGUAGCCCGGAUGGGAAUUUUUGGCACCUUUCUCUCCCCUGCGAGAUUUCUAUCUUCUUUCAUUGCUUCGGGUCCCUGGCGGACUUGGGUGAGGAAG
rnacentral:snRNA from 1 species